GUAGGGUGCGAGCGUUGUCCGGAAUUAUUGGGCGUAAAGGGCUCGUAGGCGGUUUGUCGCGUCGGGAGUGAAAACAUCGGGCUUAACUCGGUGCUUGCUUUCGAUACGGGCAGACUAGAGGUAUGCAGGGGAGAAUGGAAUUCCUGGUGUAGCGGUGAAAUGCGCAGAUAUCAGGAGGAACACCGGUGGCGAAGGCGGUUCUCUGGGCAUUACCUGACGCUGAGGAGCGAAAGUGUGGGGAGCGAACAGGAUUAGAUACCCUGGUAGUCCACACCGUAAACGUUGGGCGCUAGGUGUGGGAUCCUUUCCACGGGUUCCGUGCCGUAGCUAACGCAUUAAGCGCCCCGCCUGGGGAGUACGGCCGCAAGGCUAAA
rnacentral:rRNA from 1 species